rnacentral:rRNA from 1 species
ACGGUCCAGACUCCUACGGGAGGCAGCAGUAGGGAAUCUUCCGCAAUGGACGAAAGUCUGACGGAGCAACGCCGCGUGAGUGAUGAAGGUUUUCGGAUCGUAAAACUCUGUUAUUAGGGAAGAACAAAUGUGUAAGUAACUGUGCACAUCUUGACGGUACCUAAUCAGAAAGCCACGGCUAACUACGUGCCAGCAGCCGCGGUAAUACGUAGGUGGCAAGCGUUAUCCGGAAUUAUUGGGCGUAAAGCGCGCGUAGGCGGUUUCUUAAGUCUGAUGUGAAAGCCCACGGCUCAACCGUGGAGGGUCAUUGGAAACUGGGAAACUUGAGUACAGAAGAGGAAAGUGGAAUUCCAUGUGUAGCGGUGAAAUGCGCAGAGAUAUGGAGGAACACCAGUGGCGAAGGCGACUUUCUGGUCUGUAACUGACGCUGAUGUGCGAAAGCGUGGGGAUCAAACAGGAUUAGAUACCCCUGGUAGUCCACGCCCGUAAACGAUGAGUGCUAAGUGUUA